UACGUAGGGUGCGAGCGUUAAUCGGAAUUACUGGGCGUAAAGCGUGCGCAGGCGGUUCGCCAAGUCAGGUGUGAAAUCCCCGGGCUUAACCUGGGAAUUGCGCUUGAAACUAGCGGGCUUGAGUGUGGCAGAGGGGGGUGGAAUUCCACGUGUAGCGGUGAAAUGCGUAGAGAUGUGGAGGAACACCGAUGGCGAAGGCAGCCCCCUGGGUCAACACUGACGCUCAUGCACGAAAGCGUGGGGAGCAAACAGG
rnacentral:rRNA from 1 species